UGAGCAAUCUGCCCUUCUCUUCGGAAUAAGCGUUGGAAACGACGUCUAAUGCCGAAUACGACCUCCUUUCGCAUGAUCGGAGGUGGAAAGCUUCGGCGGAGAAGGAUGAGCUCGCGGCCUAUCAGCUAGUUGGUGUGGGUAAUGGCCCACCAAGGCGACGACGGGUAGCCGGCCUGAGAGGGUGACCGGCCACACGUGGGACUGAGACACGGCCCAGACCUCCGUACGGGGAGG
rnacentral:rRNA from 1 species